ACGGGAGGCAGCAGUGGGGAAUAUUGCACAAUGGGGGAAACCCUGAUGCAGCAACGCCGCGUGAGUGAAGAAGUAUUUCGGUAUGUAAAGCUCUAUCAGCAAGGAAGAAAAUGACGGUACUUGACUAAGAAGCUCCGGCUAAAUACGUGCCAGCAGCCGCGGUAAUACGUAUGGAGCAAGCGUUAUCCGGAUUUACUGGGUGUAAAGGGAGCGUAGACGGCAAAGCAAGUCUGAAGUGAAAUCCCGGGGCUCAACCCCGGAACUGCUUUGGAAACUGUUUAGCUAGAGUGCAGGAGAGGUAAGCGGAAUUCCUAGUGUAGCGGUGAAAUGCGUAGAUAUUAGGAGGAACACCAGUGGCGAAGGCGGCUUACUGGACUGUAACUGACGUUGAGGCUCGAAAGCGUGGGGAGCAAACAGGAUUAGAUACCCUGGUA
rnacentral:rRNA from 1 species